AGCUGGAGACCGGGGGUGGAGACGGAGGGGAAACACAACGGCUAUUUAAAGCGUAGGCGACGGUCUUGUCGGCCCUUUCCCCUACACGACUCCACGGUGCUCUGUGAAAGAGUGGAAGAUGAGCUACCUUCACUAUGAUGGAUUCCUGCCAGGAGAAGAUGGAGGAGGAUGAUGCUGCUGAGCUCUCUUCUGCCCUUGGGCCUUGAAUGCAAAUACACUGUCUUUGCAAGUGUCCACUGUACGAGAGCCAGUUCCCAGUACUGGAUACCCCUGAGUCUGUUGGAAUGCAAACUUCAGGUUCAAGCACCAGGUGGCCGCCCCUGAACUGGGCUGUGAUCGAGGAGGACCUGAAGUGAAGAGUGAAUUCUUCAUUCACGAAACAAAACUCGUCCACCAUGUUUUUGAGACCCUUUUUUUCUGUGGAUUUAUGUUCCGCUAUAGUGGUCACCAACCUUUUAGCAACCGUAAGCUACUCUAAGGGCACUGUGACCCAAAGGGCUACCAUUGGUUCAGUACACACAUUUGAGAUCACGAUAAUCAAAAGCAAAAAAAUAAAUAACACAAGAUGGUUAUUGCAUUAAUUUUUUUAAUAGCACCCCAUGCUUUCCAUUAUGCUCCUCUGAGAGUUGCAUAGAGGAGCAAUACUAUGACAUGCAUCACUUUAAUAAACCAGAUGACCCGAGGUCCUUGUGUUGUCCUUUAAUUCUCACUGAAAAGAAUGUUUGCAUGGCCAUCUGAAGUACAACAAGCUGAAUAGACCUCAGCAAAUGAGGAUUCCACAAGGUUUGCAUUUAGAGACUGAGUAGUUCUUGUGGUAUAUCAAAACCACCUUUACCCUCAAGGAAAACGAUUGAAUCUAAAGAGCUGACUCCAAUAGAUGCAUAACUCACUUAUACUUGUAAAACCUGCAGCAACUCUUCCCCAUGUGUGAUGAAGCCAUGAGAUCCAUGCCCACCACUGGUGCUUCACCAUCUUCACUCGUCUUUAUUCUCACUAUGAUAAUGUCUAUACUCCGGCUUGAGCUCCCAUGUGUUCUUGUGUGUGCCCUUCACAUUAUAGAUGCCAAUAUCACGCAGGAUGUCCUUCAGGUAGAUCUGUGUGGAAAGGGCAAAUUCAUGAAAUCGAGUCACUGUUUUUAACAAAAGAAUGACUUCUCUCACCACCGGCUGCUUGGUGAUCUCCACCAGGUCUCUGAUGUUGUAGAACUGGUGCUUCUCAAAAGCAGAAAACAACAUGUCCAGUACACGUUGCUUUUCAGCCCGGGCUCGCUUUCCCUCUUCUUUCUUCCUUCUCUCAUAUUCAAUCUUUCCACAAGAAACAAAAGUUGAAAUGUGAGGUGAACACACUCAGACUAGAAAGAAUUGAGACUAACCUAAAGUUACUUAUUGAAGUGCCUUAUUUUACCAAGCAUUUUACACUUUAGAAAUACUUCAAGAGUCUUACGUUGUAGGCGUGGUUGGCCACCGGCUUAUAGUUGCUGGUCACAGGUCUCUCCAGCUGCUGGGACAGGCGCACUGGCUUGGAGAAGUCUUGAAUUUGUAACCUGAAAACAGAUGAUCGAGACACAGUGUCUACUGCACCUGGGCAGGACCAAACAGUUGCUUUCAUUUGGUGAAAAAAGUUACCGCUUCAGCCUCAUGUAGUGUUCAUUAAUGGCAGGUUUGCACUCUGCUCUGUGCACCACCGUCCCUUCUAUUGAAAUUUUGUCUGUGUGAGGAGUAAAGGAGUUAAAAGACAAUU